UGCGUAGGCGGAAUAUUAAGUCAGUGGUGAAAUCCUGCAGCUUAACUGUAGAACUGUCAUUGAUACUGGUAUUCUUGAAUACAGUUGAAGUAGGCGGAAUGUGUAAUGUAGCGGUGAAAUGCUUAGAUAUUACACAGAACACCGAUUGCGAAGGCAGCUUACUAAACUGUGAUUGACGCUGAGGCACGAAAGCGUGGGGAGCAAACAGGAUUAGAUACCCUGGUAGUCC
rnacentral:rRNA from 1 species